rnacentral:lncRNA from 1 species
CUAGUUCCAUUUGCGACUGGCGCCUGACAUUUACAAGAUGGCGAUGACAGGGUGCAGCUUUUUGCUGGGGGACAGAGUUCUGCCCCAGCCCAGACUUAAGUGGUUCAUAUGGUGAUUGAUCCCCUGACCUUGGGCUCAUUAACUUUAUCCUCUCAUGAAUGGAAGGAACCAGCCAUAAGGAUCUCUUUGAUCACCUGAGAGAAAGCCACCUUCUGCUUGUUUCUCCAUCCGUCCUUUGCUGGCAUUCCCCCUGCAGCAACCCUGGGGCCAGGGAGCAUCUGAUCAGAAGAACUCACUGCCUCUGUGCCCACAAGGACACGCCUCUCACACUGUGCUUCUCAGAGUAUCUGUGA